GUGAGGAAUAUUGGUCAAUGGGCGAGAGCCUGAACCAGCCAAGUCGCGUGAAGGAAGACGGCCCUACGGGUUGUAAACUUCUUUUGCAAUGGAAUAAAAAGAGUUACGUGUAAUUCAUUGUAUGUACAUUGCGAAUAAGGAUCGGCUAACUCCGUGCCAGCAGCCGCGGUAAUACGGAGGAUCCGAGCGUUAUCCGGAUUUAUUGGGUUUAAAGGGUGCGUAGGCGGAUUGGAAAGUCAGCGGUGAAAGUUUGCAGCUUAACUGUAAAAUUGCCAUUGAAACUGUCAGUAUUGAGUGCAAAUGAGGUAGGCGGAAUGUGUUGUGUAGCGGUGAAAUGCAUAGAUAUAACACAGAACACCAAUUGCGAAGGCAGCUUACUGGGAUGCAACUGACGCUGAGGCACGAAAGCGUGGGGAUCAAACAGGAUUAGAAACCCUUGUAGUCC
rnacentral:rRNA from 1 species